rnacentral:rRNA from 1 species
GACGAACGCUGGCGGCAGGCCUAACACAUGCAAGUCGAGCGGAGCGGCGGACGGGUGCGUGAUGCCUAGGAAUCUGCCUGGUCGUGGGGGCUAGCGUCCGGUAACGGGCGCUAAUACCACAUACUAUCAGAUGAGCCUAGGUCGGAUUAGCUAGUUGGUGGGGUAAAGGCAUACCAAGGCGACGAUCCGUAACUGGUCUGAGAGGAUGAUCAGCCACACUGGAACUGAGACACGGUCCAGACUCCUACGGGAGGCAGCAGUGGGGAAUAUUGGACAAUGGGCGAAAGCCUGAUCCAGCCAUGCCGCGUGUGUGAAGAAGGUCUUCGGAUUGUAAAGUACUUUAAGUUGGGAGGCGGUACCAACAGAAUAAGCACCGGCUAACUUCGUGCCAGCAGCCGCGGUAAUUC